rnacentral:lncRNA from 1 species
CUCAUUCCAAUUACAGGGCCUCGAAAGAGUCCUGUAUUGUUAUUUGUCGUCACUACCUCACCGCGUCGGGAGUGGGUAAUUUGCGCUCCUGCUGCCUUCCUUGGAUGUGGUAGCCGUUUCUCAGGCUCCCUCUCCGGAAUCGAACCCUGAUUCCCGUUACCCAUGGUCACCAUGGUAAGCGCAGAAAGUACCAUCGAGAGUUGAUAGGGC